GUCUGGUGCCAGCAGCCGCGGUAAUUCCAGCUCCAAUAGCGUAUAUUAAACUUGUUGCAGUUAAAAAGCUCGUAGUUGUAUUUUUGCGUUGACGGUUUGACCAUUUGGUUGGUUACUUCGUUUUCGCUUUUGGGAAUUUCCCUUUUUACUUUGAGAAAAUUAGAGUGUUUCAAGCAGACUUUUGUCUUGAAUACUUCAGCAUGGAAUAAUAGAGUAGGACUUUGGUUCUAUUUUGUUGGUUAUUGAACCUUAGUAAUGGUUAAUAGGAACGG
rnacentral:rRNA from 1 species